AGUGAACGCUGGCGGUAGGCCUAACACAUGCAAGUCGAACGGCAGCACAGUAAGAGCUUGCUCUUACGGGUGGCGAGUGGCGGACGGGUGAGGAAUACAUCGGAAUCUACUUUUUCGUGGGGGAUAACGUAGGGAAACUUACGCUAAUACCGCAUACGACCUACUUGUGAAAGCAGGGGAUCUUCGGACCUUUCGCGAUUGUAUGAGCCGAUGUCGGCUUAGCUAGUUGGCGGGGUAAAGGCCCACCAAGGCGACGAUCCGUAGCUGGACUGAGAGGAUGAUCAGCCACACUGGAACUGGGACACGGACCAGAAUCCGAAGGGAGGCAGGAGUGGGGAAUAUUGGACAAGGGGCGCAAGCCUAAUCCAGCCAUAACGCGUGGGUGAAGAAGGCCUACGGGUUGUAAAGCCCUUUUGUUGGGAAAGAAAAGCAGCAGGUUAAUACCCAGCUGUACUGACGGUACCCAAAGAAUAAGCACCGGCUAACUUCGU
rnacentral:rRNA from 1 species